GGGGGGGGAGAUAGACAGAGAGGCUAGUGAGAGUGCUAAGGAAAAUAUAUAUAAGGCUGAGCGGAGAGGGUAAACAUAAGAUUGAGGGUAGUAGGAUUGGCCAUACCUUUCCUCCGCACUUGCUCCUUCGAUUAUGCUAUGGUUAUUUUUUUCACUCGUGGUGUCUUUUUUUAUUUCCAAGGAUAGUCCUUAAAAUACCAUUCUUGUGUGAUUUCCAAGGCCAGCCCUUAAAAGCCUGUCCUUGCAUGAUUUCAAGGACCUAUAUCUAGGGCCAUU
rnacentral:lncRNA from 1 species